GAUGAACGCUGGCGGCGUGCCCAAUACAUGCAAGUCGAGCGAAUGGAUUAAGAGCUUGCUCUUAUGAAGUUAGCGGCGGACGGGUGAGUAACACGUGAGUAACCUGCCCAUAAGACUGGGAUAACUCCGGGAAACCGGGGCUAAUACCGGAUAACAUUUUGAACCGCAUGGUUCGAAAUUGAAAGGCGGCUUCGGCUGUCACUUAUGGAUGGACCCGCGUCGAAUUAGCUAGUUGGUGAGGUAACGGCUCACCAAGGCAACGAUGCGUAGCCGACCUGAGAGGGUGAUCGGCCACACUGGGACUGAGACACGGCCCAGACUCCUACGGGAGGCAGCAGUAGGGAAUCUUCCGCAAUGGACGAAAGUCUGACGGAGCAACGCCGCGUGAGUGAUGAAGGCUUUCGGGUCGUAAAACUCUGUUGUUAGGGAAGAACAAGUGCUAGUUGAAUAAGCUGGCACCUUGACGGUACCUAACCAGAAAGCCACGGCUAACUACGUGCCAGCAGCCGCCGUAA
rnacentral:rRNA from 1 species